CCCCUCUCAGGGUCGCACCUGGAUAGUUUCCAGUACUCUACCAGUCUUGGAUACAGGAGGGAGAGUGAAGCAGAAGCAUAUCCAUUCCAUUCCUAGCUUGGGCAGUGGCUAUCAAGUGGAAGAGAAUCUGUUACAAGU